rnacentral:rRNA from 1 species
ACGGAAGGCAGCAGUGGGGAAUUUUGCGCAAUGGGGGAAACCCUGACGCAGCAACGCCGCGUGCGGGAUGACGGCCUUCGGGUUGUAAACCGCUUUCAGCAGGGACGAUAAUGACGGUACCUGCAGAAGAAGCUCCGGCUAACUACGUGCCAGCAGCCGCGGUAAUACGUAGGGAGCGAGCGUUAUCCGGAUUCAUUGGGCGUAAAGCGCGCGUAGGCGGCUUGCUAAGCGGAACCUCUAAUCCGAGGGCUCAACCCCCGGCCGGGUUCCGAACUGGCAGGCUCGAGUGCGGUAGGGGCAAGUGGAAUUCCAUGUGUAGCGGUGGAAUGCGCAGAUAUAUGGAAGAACACCGAUGGCGAAGGCAGCUUGCUGGGCCGUCACUGACGCUGAGGUGCGAAAGCGUGGGGAGCGAACAGGAUUAGAUACCCUGGUA